GUGGGGAAUCUUGCGCAAUGGGCGAAAGCCUGACGCAGCCAUGCCGCGUGGAUGAUGAAGGUCUUAGGAUUGUAAAAUCCUUUCACCGGUGAAGAUAAUGACUGUAGCCGGAGAAGAAGCCCCGGCUAACUUCGUGCCAGCAGCCGCGGUAAUACGAAGGGGGCUAGCGUUGCUCGGAAUUACUGGGCGUAAAGGGAGCGUAGGCGGACAUUUAAGUCAGGGGUGAAAUCCCGAGGCGCAACCUCGGAACUGCCUUUGAUACUGGGUGUCUUGAGUGUGAGAGAGGUGAGUGGAACUCCGAGUGUAGAGGUGAAAUUCGUAGAUAUUCGGAAGAACACCAGUGGCGAAGGCGACUCACUGGCUCAUUACUGACGCUGAGGCUCGAAAGCGUGGGGAGCAAACAGGAUUAGAUACCCGGGUAGUCC
rnacentral:rRNA from 1 species